GGUCGUGUGGCCUAAUGGAUAAGGCGUCGGACUUCUAUGAAAGUAAUUAUCCGAAAAUUGCGGGUUCGAGUCCCGCCACGAUUA
rfam:Daphnia pulex DAPPTscaffold_68_Cont3448, whole genome shotgun sequence.